rnacentral:tRNA from 1 species
UCCCUGGUGGCUUAGAUGGUAAAGCGUCUGCCUACAAUGCAGGAGACCCUGGUUCAAACACUGGGUUGGGAA